rnacentral:rRNA from 1 species
UACGUAGGGUGCAAGCGUUGUCCGGAAUUAUUGGGCGUAAAGAGCUCGUAGGCGGUCUGUCGCGUCGGCUGUGAAAUCCCGGGGCUCAACCCCGGGCCUGCAGUCGAUACGGGCAGACUAGAGUGCGGUAGGGGAGACUGGAAUUCCUGGUGUAGCGGUGAAAUGUGCAGAUAUCAGGAGGAACACCGGUGGCGAAGGCGGGUCUCUGGGCCGAUAUUGGCGCUGAGGAGCGAAAGCGUGGGGAGCAAACAGG